rnacentral:rRNA from 1 species
CCCUUAGAUGUUCUGGGCCGCACGCACGCUACACUGAUGCAUUCAACGAGUCUAAAACCUGCUCUGAUAGGGGUGGGUAAUCUUUUGAAUGUGCAUCGUGAUUGGGAUAGAUGAUUGCAAUUUUUCAUCUUCAACGAGGAAUGCCUAGUAAACGCAAGUCAUCAGCUUGCAUUGAUUACGUCCCUGCCCUUUGUACACACCGCCCGUCGCUCCUACCGAUUGAAUGAUCCGAUGAAUAUCAUGGAUUGAGGAUGCAAGUAGGUUCGCCUAUCUUCAUCUUCGAGAAGUGAAGUAAAGCUUAUCAUUUAGAGGAAGGAGAAGUCGUAACA